rnacentral:lncRNA from 10 species
UGGGAUUCUGGGCAGUUGGGACUUUCUUUUCAGGAAAGGAGGUGAGAGGUGCCGGGGAAGCCCACACGAGCAGCCACUCUUGGAGAAAUGGGGAAUGGCGCUGUAAAAGCGCAGGCCCUCCUCCUCCUCCUUUCUCCCCAUCACACAAAAAGGAUGGGCCUUGAAAGGGAUGAGUUUAUUAUGCACUUUUAAAUGCCUAUUCAGAAAAGAACAGGAGGCAAAAAUAAAGAUGCUUCCACCUCCACAAUGGUUUUUGUUUAAAAUAAAGGUCAUGAUUGUUUCCCAUUAUUACAGAAUGGAAACCGAUCCUAGACAUCUGUGAAACGUAUCUUAAAAAUUCCACUACUGAGUUGGGAAAAGCAGAGAGUUCAUGUUUACUUCAUUGGCGAAGUCCAGUUGAAUCUACUUAACUCGACCAGCUUUAAUCCAAUCUAAUAAACCAUGAGCUUGUUCCUGUGUCAAAAAAAAAAAAAAAAAAAAAAGCCAAUAUGCUGCCCUGAGCCUGUGAAAGUUGUCAGAAACAAAAUGGAGUCACUUGUGUUAAAAAAUUAAUUAAUUAAUUAAUUAAAAGAACCCUGACAAAUAUAGCUGCAGAAGGCUAUGAAAAAAAAGGUUCUCAUGCAUAAAUGCCUGAUAACAAAAACUAUCACAAAAGACCCUGCAAAAACCACAGUCCUUGCUCAAAAAUGAUUACAACCUUACACAAAAAAUACUUCAGCAAGAACAUCCGCCCAGUGACUGCCUAUCCAACCUUCGACUGGCAUCACCCUUGCUAUUGUUAUGGGUCUUCAUAGCCAAGGAUAAUUAUCUCAAAACAAUGAUAUAAUCCUCAUUUUUCCUUUAAAAGCCUUUGUCUUUCUUUACCUCCCUGCAUGCCUGUAGUUUACUAUGGCAUGUGUAUUCCCAUUCCAAUGCUCUGUUCCCAAAUAAAUGUAAUUUCCUUUUAGACAGCCUCUCUCUGUUAGUUACUUAGGCUGAUAGCCCCAAAUUCCAUCUUUCGCAUUGCCAUGUCAUCAAAUAAACCUGUGAUUUUCUUGUUUUUGCUAAGCAAAUGGCUUGUGUUGUGGUUAGUGUCUCUAGUGUAACAAUCACUUUGUGUUUCCCUGACUCUCCUAAGUACAAAGAAAUAGGAACCCCCGCACUUUAUGUGGGAAAAAAACAGAGACUGAAAAAUUAAUUAACUGCCCACUCUCACAUGGGUCUACCACCAUCUUCCAGGUCUUUCUUUCCAGACCUGUGGUCUCUCCCCACCUCCAGCCUCUUAUGGAGAGCAAAGGAAGGAAAUGGGAACAGGACUCAACAGCAACAUUCCAGGAAAAUGAAUAGAAUGUGGGAACGGUUCGAAAUGAUAAAUCCAGGUGAUAGAACGAGUUUCAAAGAGCAAGAGCCUGAUGGUAAUAGGGAAGCCAGGGGAACGGCAGAGGUUGUGCAGAAGACGACUCUGGCAAAAUAAGGACUGUGGAGAGAAAGUAAGUGGCUUUUAAGAUCUUAAACAUGGGGUCAAAAUUAUACCAUGAGAAGAAAGAAAAAGUCCCUGGGAGUGUUUGUAGACAGACCAAAGGACAGAACGUGAAGAAGGGCCUAUGAGAGAAUUGGUAUCCGGAAGAUUGUUUAUGUGCAACACUUCUGAGGAAUAAAGGGUGAUAAACUGUCUCGUGAGAAUGAACUACUGGAAGGACGGAGAGACACAAGGAAUGGCUGCAGUCAAGGUGAAAUGUAGGCCGUUGUGAGAGUUUCAUCCCAGGGCAUGAUGAGAAUGCCAGGGCCUGAUGCGUGUCAACGGUGCUUCAUCUGCUCAGAGAGUGUCCUAAAACCAGUCAGACCCUAGAUGUAGAAGUAUGCCACCCAAUGUCACCUAGCAGUUCAAUGCCAGGGAGAGAAAAUUCAGGCUUUCUUAUCCCCCUUCUAGUGCAAGCCCAUGGAAUAUGCCACUUUCCUAGUUAGGAUUUGGAAUUGGUCAUUGGGAAGGGCUCCGAAGAGAAACUCUGAGAAUUGUUGAUUUCCAUUUCAAAUCCCCCUAAUGCAUAAAAUAAGAAUGUGUUCUGCGGUGUUCCUCAGCUUAUUAACUUUUAUAAAAGAAAGGAAUGAUCUUUGUUGUUACUUGAAAACAGCCACAUUUGGAAAGGUCUACGCUACCCAAAUGUAAUAAAAAUAAAUUUUAGUUCAAUUGGUCAGUCUU